rnacentral:misc_RNA from 1 species
GAGUUUGUAACACCCGAAGUCGGUGAGGUAACCUUUUAGGAGCCAGCCGCCGAAGGUGGGACAGAUGAUUGGGGUGAAGUCGUAACAAGGUAGCCGUAUCGGAAGGUGCGGCUGGAUCACCUCCUUUCUAAGGAUAUUAUACGGAAUAUAAGACCUUGGGUCUUAUA